CCUACGUGAGGCAGCAGUGAGGAAUAUUGGUCAAUGGGCGCGAGCCUGAACCAGCCAAGUAGCGUGAAGGAUGACUGCCCUACGGGUUGUAAACUUCUUUUAUAAAGGAAUAAAGUGAGGCACGUGUGCCUUUUUGUAUGUACUUUAUGAAUAAGGAUCGGCUAACUCCGUGCCAGCAGCCGCUGUAAUACGGAGGAUCCGAGCGUUAUCCGGAUUUAUUGGGUUUAAAGGGAGCGUAGAUGGGUUGUUAAGUCAGUUGUGAAAGUUUGCGGCUCAACCGUAAAAUUGCAAUUGAUACUGGCAGUCUUGAGUACAGUUGAGGUAGGCGGAAUUCGUGGUGUAGCGGUGAAAUGCUUAGAUAUCACGAAGAACUCCGAUUGCGAAGGCAGCUUACUAAACUGCCACUGACAUUGAUGCUCGAAAGUGUGGGUAUCAAACAGGAUUAGAUACACGUGUAGUC
rnacentral:rRNA from 1 species